GACGAACGCUGGCGGCGUGCUUAACACAUGCAAGUCGAACGGAAAGGCACUGCUUUUGUGGGGUGCUCGAGUGGCGAACGGGUGAGUAACACGUGAGUAACCUGCCCUUGACUUUGGGAUAACUUCAGGAAACUGGGGCUAAUACCGGAUAGGAGCUCCUGCUGCAUGGUGGGGGUUGGAAAGUUUCGGCGGUUGGGGAUGGACUCGCGGCUUAUCAGCUUGUUGGUGGGGUAGUGGCUUACCAAGGCUUUGACGGGUAGCCGGCCUGGGUGGGUGGCCGGCCGCCUGGCGACUGGUGUACGGCCCCGACUCCUACGGGCGGCAGCCGUGGGGCAUAUUCUACCAUGGGCGGAGGCCUGAGCCAGCAGCGCCGCGUCGGGGAUGACUGCCCUUGGGUUGUGGACGGGUCACGCCUGUGACGAUGCGUGGGUGACGGUAAUGGGUAAAGAACCACCGGCUCGCUACGUG
rnacentral:rRNA from 1 species